rnacentral:misc_RNA from 1 species
GGAAGCCAGUCUCCAAGGUGAAGCUUUGGAGUUGUGAGUUUGAGAGUAUCUCUCUCCGGCGUGAUGAAGUGGAGUCUCCGAGUUCUAGUGUAGAAACUGCAAAGUGAUAAGCAGUGACUGUAAGGGUGCCGACAGUAAGAAGUGAGGUAGUCUUCCAGUCGAGGUGAUGAAGGAAUGAUCAUCUUCAUUUGAAUUCAUGUGUGAAGGUAUGAAAUGG